rnacentral:rRNA from 1 species
CCAAGAUUAAGCCAUGCAUGUCUAAGCACAUGCCGUAAAUGGUGAAGCCGCGAAUGGCUCAUUACAACAGCCAUAGUUUAUUAGAUCUUACUCUAUUACUUGGAUAACUGUGGUAAUUCUAGAGCUAAUACAUGCAAUUAAGCUCAGACCUUACGGAAUGAGCGCUUUUAUUAGAACAAAACCAAUCGGACUUCGGUCCGCUCUUUGGUGAAUCUGAAUAACUCAGCUGAUCGCACGGUCCUUGUACCGGCGACAUAUCUUUCAAAUGUCUGCCUUAUCAACUUACGUUGGUAGUUUAUGCGCCUACCAUGGUUGUAACGGGUAACGGAGAAUAAGGGUUCGACUCCGGAGAGGGAGCCUGAGAAACGGCUACCACAUCCAAGGUGG